rnacentral:pre_miRNA from 1 species
UAAAUACUUCCUCCGUCCCACAUCUAGACUAAAUACGGAUGUAUCAAGUCACGUUUCAGUAUUAGAUACAUCCACAUCUAGACAAAUUUAAGACAAGAAUUUUGGGACGGAGGGAGUACAAC